rnacentral:rRNA from 1 species
AGACGAACUGUCCUAACGUUGUUCGGAAUCACUGGGCUUAAAGGGCGCGUAGGCGGUCCAACAAGUCGGGGGUGAAAUCCUGCAGCUCAACUGCAGAAGUGCCUUCGAUACUGUUGGUCUUGAGGGAAAUAGGGGUGUGCGGAACUUCCAGUGGAGCGGUGAAAUGCGUUGAUAUUGGAAGGAACGCCGGAGGCGAAAGCGGCGCACUGGAUUUCUUCUGACGCUGAGGCGCGAAAGCUAGGGGAGCAAACGG